rnacentral:tRNA from 1 species
AGGAUUAUAGUUUAUUUAAAACAAUUGAUUUGCAUUCAAAAAUUAUUAUUAUUAAUUUAUCUUA